rnacentral:rRNA from 1 species
AACAAACGCUGGCGGCGUGCCUAAUACAUGCAAGUCGAACGGGGAAAGCUUUCGGGUGAGUACUAGUGGCGCACGGGUGAGUAACGCGUGGAUAAUCUGCCUUAGAGUGGGGGAUAACUAGUCGAAAGAUUAGCUAAUACCGCAUAAGACCACAAGAACUGCGGUUCAAGAGGUCAAAGGUUUUUCGCUCUAAGAUGAGUCCGCGUAAGAUUAGCUAGUUGGUGAGGUAACGGCUCACCAAGGCAACGAUCUUUAACUGGUCUGAGAGGAUGAUCAGUCACACUGGAACUGAGACACGGUCCAGACUCCUACGGGAGGCAGCAGUAGGGAGUAUUGCACAAUGGAGGAACCUCUGAUGCAGCGACGCCGCGUGAGUGAUGAAGGCCUUCGGGUCGUAAAGCUCUGUCGCAGGGGAAUAACACAAUGAAUGUACCCUGUAAGAAAGGAUCGGCUAACUUCGUGCCAGCCGCCGCCGUAACAC